rnacentral:rRNA from 1 species
AUUGAACGCUGGCGGCAGGCUUAACACAUGCAAGCCGAGCGGGGGAAGGUAGCUUGCUACCGGACCUAGCGGCGGACGGGUGAGUAAUGCUUAGGAAUCUGCCUAUUAGUGGGGGACAACAUCUCGAAAGGGAUGCUAAUACCGCAUACGUCCUACGGGAGAAAGCAGGGGAUCUUCGGACCUUGCGCUAAUAGAUGAGCCUAAGUCGGAUUAGCUAGUUGGUGGGAUAAAGGCCUACCAAGGCGACGAUCUGUAGCGGGUCUGAGAGGAUGCUCCGCCACACUGGGACUGAGGCACGGCCCAGACUCCUACGGGAGGCAGCAGUGGGGAAUAUUGGACAAUGGGGGGAACCCUGAUCCAGCCAUGCCGCGUGUGUGAAGAAGGCCUUAUGGUUGUAAAGCACUUUAAGCGAGGAGGAGGCUACUCUAGUUAAUACCUAGGGAUAGUGGACGUUACUCGCAGAAUAAGCACCGGCUAACUCUGUGCCAGCCGCCGCGGUAA